rnacentral:rRNA from 1 species
ACGGGAGGCAGCAGUGGGGGAUAUUGCACAAUGGGGGAAACCCUGAUGCAGCAACGCCGCGUGAGGGAAGAAGGUUUUCGGAUUGUAAACCUCUGUUUUCGGUGACGAAACAAAUGACGGUAGCCGAAGAGGAAGCCACGGCUAACUACGUGCCAGCAGCCGCGGUAAUACGUAGGUGGCAAGCGUUGUCCGGAUUUACUGGGUGUAAAGGGUGCGUAGGCGGGACUGCAAGUUGGAUGUGAAAUACCGGGGCUUAACCCCGGAGCUGCAUCCAAAACUGUGGUUCUUGAGUGGAGUAGAGGUAAGCGGAAUUCCGAGUGUAGCGGUGAAAUGCGUAGAUAUUCGGAGGAACACCAGUGGCGAAGGCGGCUUACUGGGCUCUAACUGACGCUGAGGCACGAAAGCAUGGGGAGCAAACAGGAUUAGAUACCCUGGUA